CUCCUACGGGAGGCAGCAGUAGGGAAUCUUCCGCAAUGGACGAAAGUCUGACGGAGCAACGCCGCGUGAGUGAUGAAGGUUUUCGGAUCGUAAAGCUCUGUUGUUAGGGAAGAACAAGUGCCGUUCAAAUAGGGCGGCACCUUGACGGUACCUAACCAGAAAGCCACGGCUAACUACGUGCCAGCAGCCGCGGUAAUACGUAGGUGGCAAGCGUUGUCCGGAAUUAUUGGGCGUAAAGGGCUCGCAGGCGGUUUCUUAAGUCUGAUGUGAAAGCCCCCGGCUCAACCGGGGAGGGUCAUUGGAAACUGGGGAACUUGAGUGCAGAAGAGGAGAGUGGAAUUCCACGUGUAGCGGUGAAAUGCGUAGAGAUGUGGNAGNGAACACCAGUGGCGAAGGCGACUCUCUGGUCUGUAACUGACGCUGAGGAGCGAAAGCGUGGGGAGCGAACAGGAUUAGAUACCCUGGUAGUCCACGCCGUAAACGAUGAGUGCUAAGUGUUAGGGGGUUUCCGCCCCUUAGUGCUGCAGCUAACGCAUUAAGCACUCCGCCUGGGGAGUACGGUCGCAAGACUGAAACUCAAAGGAAUUGACGGGGGCCCGCACAAGCGGUGGAGCAUGUGGUUCAAUUCCAAGCAACGCGAAGAACCUUACCAGGUCUUGACAUCCUCUGACAAUCCUAGAGAUAGGACGUCCCCUUCGGGGGCAGAGUGACAGGUGGUGCAUGGUUGUCCGGCCCAGGCUUCGGUGAUACA
rnacentral:rRNA from 1 species